AAAAUAUCAAGAGCAAACAAAACAAUAGCACUCAUCAAAAUGAGCAGCUCACUCUUCUUGCUAUUUCUUGUUAUGCUCUCCCCGUUAUGUCUCGCCAGGGACUUGCCCGACUCUCCAUCACCGUCACCGGUACUCGCGGAUCAACCGGAGUUCCCUUCGCCCUCUCAAGCCCCUCAAAUGUCCGGAUACUCUAUUGAGCCACCACCAUCAUCACCAUCUCAAGCUCCACAAGCCCAUCAUCAAGAACCCAAAUAUCCUUUCGAGCCACCGUCACCAUCUCAAGCUCCUCAAUCCAAUUUAGAACCUGAAAAUCCUUUGGAGCCACCGUCACCAUCUCAAGCUCCUCAAGCCAAUUUAGAACCUGAAAAUCCUUUUGAGCCACCGUCACCAUCUCAAGCUCCUCAAGCUCAUUUAGAACCCGGACAUCUUUUUGAGCCACCAUCACCGUCUCAGGCUCCAUCUCAGGCUCCUCAAGCUCAUUUAGAACCCGGAUAUCUUUUUGAGCCACAGCCAUCAUCACCCUCACCGGCUCCUCAAAUUCCUCAAUACCCUAAAAACAAGCCCCCACCACCAUCACCUUCUCAUGACCACCAUCAUCACCGUGGUCAUCACCAUGGCCAUCACCAUCAUCAUAAAGAUCAGCCUCCUCGUCAAAUCCUACCACCAGGACUAGGGUCGACACCUAUUUUACAGUGUUGGGCACCGACCCUGAAUGUUACUGGCUGUGUUGAUGAUAUUAAAAUGGCAUAUCACGAAGUCAAAUACGACAUUGCACCAAAGUGCUGCCACGCCAUUAACAAAACAAGCGACGAGUGCCUCUUCAAUAUGUUGUAUUACCGAACCCGCAAUCGCUUCUUUAUUCUUUGGCUUAGAGAACAUUGCUCUCAUCUAGAUUCAGUUUAGUGCCGUUAGGGUUUUAUCUUAUUUUGGUUGUUUUUGGUUAGGUUAGGUUGUCUCAAGUGGAGAUUGACAAUUAUUAUAUAUGAAUUUUCUAAUUUAGAUUAGUUCUAUUUUGUUUAUGAUAUUGUGGCUACGUCGUCCCAUCCU
rnacentral:lncRNA from 1 species